CACGGUUCCUCCGUGGUUCCUGUGUUUGCUCCUGUCUGGGACCUUGCCCUGAUUUUCCUAACAGAUGAAGUGUGAUCAUUACUUGGCUUCAAAACUUGUGCAGGUGUUUGCUCCAGAUAAGGAACCUUGCCCCAGCAUCUGACCAUCCAUCAGCCAGCUAUUUGACACAGAUAAGAUUCUAAUUUUUUACACUGAAUAGCCAGUGUCUGGAGCCGAACAGGAACAGGCCAAGAACAUGGUUUUCCUCAAACGCAUACAUUUAAACACAUUUAAUCUGAAUGGGGAUGAAGUCGGCCUGGGGACAUUUACUUUGCAGGAAAUCUAAGUUGCACUACGGUGAAUGCAGUGGACAGACUGGAGGCGAGCUGCGGGCUCUCAGGAGAGUUAGCUCUUCUGGCACUUCAGGUAGGUCAACACAAAGAGACACAGCUCUCCAGACUGCUCCUAGAGAAAACUGGUCUCCCAGGAGUGCUGACUCACAGGCUUGCAGGAGGGCCAGGCCACAGUCAGAGACAGCAAGACCAGCUAACACCACAGAUAACCAGAUGGCGAGAGGCAAGGGCAAGAACGUAAGCAAAGAUGUGAAGACAGGCUCUAUAGUAGAUCAUAAUAUUAAUGUGGGUUUCUUGGUUGCAAUAAUUUCAUUAUGGGGCUGCAAAGGAGAUAACAUUGUUCUUUGGAUAUAUGUGCCAAAUGCUUAGGGGUGGCAUGUCACUGUGUGCAUUGGUGAGGACAUGGAGUGGGAGAGAAGGAGGGGGAGAGAGAAAGGAAGGGACAGAUUGAUAUUAAGCGAAGUGUGAAUAAUCUAUGCAGGGUAUAUACUUGUUCUUGCAUUGUCCCUUCACCUUUGAACACUUUAGACUUUGGGGGGCGGGGGAAACCCAGCACUACGGAUCACUGCAGACUAACUAAAGCAUGACACAUGUCUGUAUCCAUAAGCAGUGCUAAGCAAGGUGGACGUUCUCCCUUUACGUCCUCGCAGACGUGUUUGCUGUAGUUUCCAUAAUCUCAGGUCUUCGCAGGCAGUGCUGACAAAUAGAGUUUAGCUAAUUCCCUGAAUUCCGGCUUCUAAGACAGUAAAUCUAGUCGAUCUAACUCUGAUUCAAGUUCAAGCUGACUGUGGGCUAGUCACCAGUAACCGAGGGGCUGAGAAUGUUGUAGCCGCACAGACACACUGUGGACCCAGUUUCUAGAGUGGGAAGGGCUGACUGUCUGCCGGCUGGGGUUCCUUCAAAGGGUCUAACGCAGGGGGUGACUUUUGAGCUAUGUUGACAUGAGUUAGUAGGAAAAGCCCGUGUGGUUGCUGCUCAUCGGGGACAGCCUCCCUAGGGACAGCCUCUGCUGAGACUUUGUUCUCCAAAGCAGAGCUCCCCACUCAGAUAUAUACACACCUAUCAGUAAAUGACCCAUCUAUUUACUAUUUUAUAUUAUAAAACGUGCGCAGUGGUAUGACUUAAUAUAUAUGAAAUAACACCAAGUCAGAGUUCACAGAGUCCCUUGUCUGACUCUAGUGUUUUUAUAACCUUAUCUUGCAAUGCUUCAGCAAUUUCUAUUUAUUGCAGGAACUUGUUUGUGCCCAUUCACACAUUUAUUGACGCCUACAGGAGCUUUUAAUUUGCAAAAUUAAAAAAGGAGCAAAAUGAAA
rnacentral:lncRNA from 1 species